GAUGAAUGCUGGCGGCGUGCCUAACACAUGCAAGUCGAGCGGCAGCGCGGUCUUCGGACUGGCGGCGAGCGGCGGACGGCUGAGUAACGCGUGGGAACGUACCCCAAAGUGAGGAAUAACUGCCCGAAAGGGUAGCUAAUGCCGCAUAUGGUCUUCGGAUUAAAGGAUUUAUCCGCUUUGGGAACGGCCUGCGUACGAUUAGAUUGUUGGUGAGGUAAUGGCUCACCAAGUCGACGAUCGUUAACUGGUCUGAGAGGAUGAUCAGUCAGACUGGAACUGAGACACGGUCCAGACUCCUACGGGAGGCAGCAGUGAGGAAUCUUCCACAAUGGGCGAAAGCCUGAUGGAGCAACGCCGCGUGCAGGAUGAAGGCCUUCGGGUCGUAAACUGCUUUUAUAAGUGAAGAAUAUGACGGUAACUUAUGAAUAAGCACCGGCUAACUACGUGCCAGCAGCCGCAGUAAUAC
rnacentral:rRNA from 1 species